GCUGCUGAUGAAGAGGAGUGAGGAGAGAGCUGGGUCUGUGCUCGGUUCGUCUCUUGCUCUUGUAACUGAGAGGGAAAAGAAGCUGUUGUGGUCCAAAGGCCAAAGGAAAAUGAGGGCUGGGUUGGGAGGAGGACUAUCUGCUGAAGGGGUGCUGGUGGCUAGGUAUACGUGGA